GAGAUACAAUAGGACAGGUGGUAC
rnacentral:siRNA from 1 species